GACGUAGGAGGCGAGCGUUGUCCGGAUUCAUUGGGCGUAAAGAGCACGCAGGCGGUUUGGCAAGUCGGAUGUGAAAACCCGGAGCUCAACUCCGGACCUGCAUCCGAAACUGCCCGACUAGAGGUAGGUAGGGGAGAUCGGAAUUCCUGGUGUAGCGGUGAAAUGCGCAGAUAUCAGGUGGAACACCCGUAGCGAAGGCGGCACUCUGGGCCGGAACUGACGCUGAGGAGCGAAAGCGUGGGGAGCGAACAGG
rnacentral:rRNA from 1 species